rnacentral:rRNA from 1 species
UUCAGAGGGGGACAACAGUUGGAAACGACUGCUAAUACCGCAUAAGACCACGGUGUGGCAUCACACAGAGGUCAAAGGAGAAAUCCGCUGAAGGAUGGGCUCGCGUCCAAUUAGCUAGAUGGUGAGGUAACGGCCCACCAUGGCGACGAUUGGUAGCCGGGCUGAGAGGUUGAUCGGCCACAUUGGGACUGAGACACGGCCCAGACUCCUACGGGAGGCAGCAGUGGGGAAUAUUGCACAAUGGAGGAAACUCUGAUGCAGCGACGCCGCGUGAGGGAAGAAGGUCUUCGGAUUGUAAACCUCUGUUGUCAGGGACGAUAAUGACGGUACCUGACGAGGAAGCCACGGAUAGCUACGUGCCAGCAGCCGCGGUAAAACGUAGGUGGCAAGCGUUGUCCGGAAUUACUGGGUGUAAAGGGAGCGCAGGCGGGAGAGCAAGUUGGAAGUGAAAUCUGUGGGCUCAACUCACAAAUUGCUUUCAAAACUGUUUUUCUUGAGUGGUGUAGAGGUAGGCGGAAUUCCCGGUGUAGCGGUGGAAUGCGUA